CACGUAGGGCGCAAGCGUUGUCCGGAAUUAUUGGGCGUAAAGAGCUCGUAGGCGGUCUGUUGCGUCCGCUGUGAAAUCUCGGGGCUUAACCCCGAGCCUGCAGUGGAUACGGGCAGACUAGAGGUAGGUAGGGGAGAAUGGAAUUCCCGGUGUAGCGGUGAAAUGCGCAGAUAUCAGGAGGAACACCGGUGGCGAAGGCGGUUCUCUGGGCCUUACCUGACGCUGAGGAGCGAAAGCAUGGGGAGCAAACAGG
rnacentral:rRNA from 1 species